UACGAAGGGAGCUAGCGUUGUUCGGAAUCACUGGGCGUAAAGCGCACGUAGGCGGAUUGUUUAGUCAGGGGUGAAAUCCCGGGGCUCAACCUCGGAACUGCCUCUGAUACUGGCAAUCUCGAGUCCGAUAGAGGUGGGUGGAAUUCCUAGUGUAGAGGUGAAAUUCGUAGAUAUUAGGAAGAACACCGGUGGCGAAGGCGGCCCACUGGAUCGGUACUGACGUGAGGUGCGAAAGCGUGGGGGAGCAAACAGG
rnacentral:rRNA from 1 species